AUUGAACGCUGGCGGCAGGCCUAACACAUGCAAGUCGAGCGAGCGGCGGACGGGUGAGUAAUGUCUGGGAAACUCCCCGUUGUGGGGGGAUAACUCCUGUAAACGGUCGCUAAUACCGCAUACCAUACCAUGUGCCCAUAUGGGAUUAGCUCGUAGUGGGGGUAAAGGCUCACCUAGGGGACGAUCCCUAGCUGGUCUGAGAGGAUGACCAGCCACACUGGAACGGAGAAACGGUACAGACUCCUACGGGAGGCAGCAGGGGGGAAUAUUGCACAAUGGGCGCAAGCCUGAUGCAGCCAUGCCGCGUGUAUGAAGAAGGCCUUAGGGUUGUAAAGCACUUUCAGCGGGGAGGCGUUACCCGCAGAAGAAGCACCGGCUAACUCCGUGCCAGCAGCCGCGGUAAUAC
rnacentral:rRNA from 1 species